AAGACCCUCAGGAAAGAGGACUCCAGAGCUGCUGCAGAAAGGGGCACGGACAUGGGAUGCGUGUGUUGGAAGUGAAUAGGGUAUUUUGAAGGAGAUUCGUGGAGAUGUUUCCUUCACUGCUAUACAUUUAAAAAAUUUAAACAUUCAUCUCUUUCAGUCUGUGUGUUUCAGUAGAUCACUGUCUGUUGAGGACCAGGACACAGUGCGACAAGUGCUAAUUAAGCAAAUAAUCAGAAUUUAAUGCUGACCUGGCCCUGGCUAAGCAGGUUCCUCAGAGAGGGGAAGGGUGGAGACCUGGGCAUGGGAGGGCACAGAGCCGAGAGUGCGGGGUCUGCUGGGCACAGCCACCUGCCAGCUCCCUGGGGCGGGGAGCCGAGAAGGGGCAAGGGUGCUGCUUUCAGGAGCCACUGGGGAUUUCCAGGCGGAGGGAGUCAGCGGGCUGUGCCUGUGGGGACAGAAGACUCGAUAACGGAAGAUGACAAGAGGAGAAACUAUGGAGGCGUGUAUGUUGGCCUGCCCGCUGAAGCUGUGGAGACGGUAUCCAGUCAGACAAAGACGGUGCAGAAAAAUUAGAGGAAACUAGCACCAUGACCUAAUAAACAAGAGGAAGAAGUUGAUUAUUUGCACGGUAUGGAAAGUUUGCUGGUCGAUUCAGAAGGACUCUGGCUCCGUGGCAUUGUAAUGUGCACAGACAUUUCCAAGGCAAUGCAAACAGCUGACGCCACCUGCGCCCCAAUCCUAAGACUGUACUGAAAACAUGGCACAGGUUCAGCAUUGUCGUAAUGGAAGGAAAUUGGUUGGCAGUGGCUCAUUUCUGACACAAUCUGUGGUCCCCUGUGAGGGAGGAGCAACAUCUGCACAGUGACGGUCCAGCGUGCCGUGACGUCGUGCGUGCGCUGUGACAUCCUGCGUGCGCCUUGACGUCCCGCAUGCGCCGUGACGUCCCGCCUGGCUGCCAGGCCUCGGUGUGCUCCCUGACCGUUCAGUCCAGUUGGUGGUCUCGUCUUUCGCCGGAUGCUGUUUUGAUAAUUUUUAUAUAACAGAAUCCGUACUCUGUUUAUAACCUAAGAUAAUAAGGACAGUAUAAAUGAGUUACCUACAGUAAUAUAUUUGCUUCUUAUCUUUCACUAUUUCUACAUUAAUUUUUAGCUGUAAAAUUGGAUUCUUACUCUUUCCUGGUUGUUUUUUUUUUUACUAUUUGGUUUUCAAAUUGUAUUUAAAUGUCAGAAUUCUCACUAUUAGAAAUGAUGUAUCAUGUUACAGCAUUUAAAAGUAAACCUGUUAAAUUUCCAGUUUGUGUGCACUAGACACGUUUGAUGAAAUCCCUGCUUUGUUUGGCCAAAGGCUUUUUAGCUACAAAUAUUUCACAGCCAGUGAGUUGCACAUUCUACCUUAUGUAAUCCUGGCAUCUCUUCAAAUUAAUUCUGUACUGUUUUCAAGGACUUAGGAUAGGUGGUUAGUGGGAUAUCUGGAAAGUUCUCGAUUUACUAAUGACACAUAUCUAUUUACUGUUGCAAUGUAAUUACUCAAUUUACCAAUGUAUUUCAACAAUUAAACAUUUUUGUUACUCCUUACCAGAAUUUCUUAAUUUUUUUCUGAAAAACACUUUGAGAGGAGUGACACAUGGCACUGUGAUCUAUAGACACACUAUAUCAAUAUAUAGAGGUAAUCAUAAAUUAAGGAAAUAAAAAUGUCUUGCCACAAGAAAGGCAUUGC